UGUUUAAAAUGAAGAUUGCGUCAUGAAGAUCAUUCACAGUAUUGAAUACAUAAGUUAACGUCGCUACAGUUUUCGAAGUACUAGUGUCACAUUGCAUACUAUCAUAGCUGCGGCGCUGUGCCUAAGGAUUGAAGAAACAAAUAUGUAUUCGCGUGCACUGCAGAAUCACACAAUAUUGAUCCUUAAUUGCUGCUGCGGAACGCUUCUUCUCCAAGACCGGCGUGAGAGCUCUUGUCCCUCCUUAAUGACGUCGCAGUACCAGGGUUAGGUUGCAAUGAGUCUUCACCGGUAAGAAUCGAUGAUUGAUUGGAGUCCCUACUUAUCGUUGUAAAAACUGACGUACUAGCAAGUGAUUUUGAUGAAGUAUUCAAAAGAUGUUUUGAGAACUGGAUGCAGGUCUUUCUUGUCACACCACAUUACGUAUGUAACUCAUUUUUCUAAUUAGCAUUGUCCGCCAGAAAGAAGAGCUGAAAUGACUUGGUUUUAUGAGAUUGCAAGUAGCACCAGCCUGCUCAAACACAUUCAGAAACUCCGGAAUCAAUAUUAGAGAGCCUGAGGUGACAUGAAAUUCAUGCUGUCCAACAUCUCUGGUCAAUAAUUAACUAGGGCAAAUGCAAAUGCGGUAAAACAUGCGAAUGAACUUGAACCAUUCUUAAUGAAAUGUGAUGGCAUUCUGCAGAUCCACAGAAAAUUAAUCCACUGAAGAUCAUGACUCAAUAUCCUCGAAUAAAAGUUUAGACCUAGCUGGUCGCCAACCACCUCCACUUUUGAGAUCAUCUUCGAUAGAGGCCUUGUAUGCCCGUCCUCCUUCUGACCACAAAUCGAUGAAAAUAUAACAGCCACCGUCUUAGAGAGGACUAAUAAUUCCUGUUACCCAUCGUAUCGCCAUUGAAGCGUGGAGGGUGAUGUUUACUGGUAAAGGGCGAACCACUGCUUUGUUGUUCAUCUGUACAAAACACCUCGAAGACAUACAUGCUGUUAGUGAUUACUCAAAGAACAAAGGAAUCCAUGUUCUGUCCAGGACACCUGCUGAUAGUGUGAGCAUCUUCCAUUCAAACCUUUUGUCUAGGAAUACACACGCAGCGAUUUCACGUUAGGUGAUUGGUCUUAUCAAGAAAAAAUUCUGCGUGUGUAAUCCUAUGACAAAGGUUCGAAAAUGGUACAGAAUAUCUUCCUCUCAUUCGCAUGAAACUGCUCCAUCUACAUCAACAUUUACUCUUCAAAGCAUGAACGCUUCGUUGUCACGAUGAAAAUGCGAAUUCUUCUUUCAGCUUCUAGCUCGUUGCUAAUACGCAGCAUCGAAUGAAGAUUAGUGAUUAGGAGACGCCACUUAACGCUACAACAGCACCAUCUCUACAGCGUACAGAUCCUAGGGACAAAUGUGAAACUUUCGAACACAUAGACUGUAGUGCAUGGGCAAGGAAGAGAUUAGAGGGAACGAGGAUCAACUCUUGACAUUGCGCUCAGAACUUUCUAAUUACUCAGGCAUGCUUCCGAGGCUUUUGUAGUUUGGAGAGUUUGGAGUCAAGAGGGGUUCAGAAUACUUCAGCACUCGGGACUUACAACCACCAAUCUUCUGGUAGUCGAGCUGAUCUGAGUUCCCGACCUAACCUUUUACUUAAGAAAUCAACGUCGAGAAACAAAAAACUAGCUCUGGAACAUGAAGCGAUGCUGAUGAAUCCAGGACCAAGUGAGAUUCCUCAACCCUAAGGCGAAACUCGAUCGCAGCGGUACUCACAACAUCGCAAUUCUUCUCAAGUCUGGAGUUCUCACUGCAUGGGCGUGCUAUUUAUAGGUCCAGUUGCACACAAACAUCCACGCAAGUAAAAAGGUGAUAUCGUCGUAAUCAGGGGUUUUAAGUGGGUAAGUACGAUCGAGUCAAACUCAUUGGAAGGAACCUGCGCCAGCGACCUUGAUAUUCGCACCAGAAGCACUUUCUACCAGGCUUAUUCACUCGUGUACAGAAAAGGCUAGAAUCUCUUUCACAUCAGAGGCCAACGAUUUCGCGUUCUUUCCAGCACCACCUUCAACAACGCAAUUCGUUUCGUUAGCUGCGCUUAGAUUUUAUUUGUGUUAAAAGACAUUCAAGCACAUAGAUCACCCAUGCAGACCGAACCACCUCGAAACAAGCCGAUGACAGAUACGAGCUGCAGUUGUAGCGUGGAGUCCAUGGCCGCCAACAGGAGCAGCAGUAGCAGCAGCUUGGCGAGGAACGGCA
rnacentral:lncRNA from 1 species